rnacentral:tRNA from 1 species
UGGCCCUUCGUCCAAUCGGCAGGACGCCGGGUUUUGGUCCCGGAAAUCCGCGUUCGAGUCGCGGGGGGCCAGCCG